UGGGGAAUUGUUCGCAAUGGGCGCAAGCCUGACGACGCAACGCCGCGUGGAGGACGAAGAUCUUCGGGUCGUAAACUCCUGUCGAGCGGGAAGAACACCCGCCUGGUGAAUAACCGGGAGGGCUGACGGUACCGCUAAAGGAAGCCCCGGCUAACUCCGUGCCAGCAGCCGCGGUAAUACGUAGGUGGCAAGCGUUGUCCGGAUUUAUUGGGUUUAAAGGGUGCGUAGGCGGUUCCAUAAGUCAGUGGUGAAAUACGGCAGCUCAACUGUCGAGGUGCCAUUGAUACUGCGGAACUUGAGUACUGAUGAGGUAGGCGGAAUUGACGGUGUAGCGGUGAAAUGCUUAGAUAUCGUCAAGAACACCGAUAGCGAAGGCAGCUUACUAAGGAGUAACUGACGCUGAGGCAUGAAAGUGCGGGGAUCAAAC
rnacentral:rRNA from 1 species